AUUGAACGCUGGCGGCAUGCCUUACACAUGCAAGUCGAACGGUAACGGGCCUUCGGGUGCCGACGAGUGGCGAACGGGUGAGUAAUGUAUCGGAACGUACCUUUCAGUGGGGGAUAACGUAGCGAAAGUUACGCUAAUACCGCAUAUUCUGUGCGCAGGAAAGCAGGGGAUCGCAAGACCUUGCGCUGAUUGAGCGGCCGAUGUCAGAUUAGCUAGUUGGUGAGGUAAAGGCUCACCAAGGCGACGAUCUGCAGCGGGUCUGAGAGGAUGAUCCGCCACACUGGAACUGAGACACGGUCCAGACUCCCACGGGAGGCAGCAGUGGGGAAUUUUGGACAAUGGGGGCAACCCUGAUCCAGCCAUGCCGCGUGAGUGAAGAAGGCCUUCGGGUUGUAAAGCUCUUUCGGCCGGGAAGAAAUCGUAUCAGCUAAUACCUGGUGCGGAUGGCGGUACCGGCAUAAGAAGCACCGGCUAACUACGUGCCAGCCGCCGCCGUAACAC
rnacentral:rRNA from 1 species